UUCUUAAUCACGAAGGAAGGUAAUAGUUAGAGGUUAAAAGGUGAAAGUCAAAUAAAGUUUAAAAAAAAAGUUUUUCUACAAGUUCUUGGAUUUCGGAUCGGUGGUAGUUGCGAAAAUUAAGUGGGACUUAAUCAGCACGACAGGACAAACCGAGUUAAAAACCUUGCGGGGGAGAAUUUGUAGGAUUGACGAGUAAAAGUAAGUCGAUAGCUAAAACGUUAACCUAAAGUAAAAUAAAACAUUGAAAUCUUAAAAUUUAAAAUAUAGAAAAUCUGGAGUUGAUUUGAGACAGAGAGUCGGCUAGGGAAAGAUAAGGCGAAGAAAUCCGCAGGAGGAAGGAAGAAACUAAAUCUUUGAUCUACUUAGAACUAAAAGUGGAUUCACGGCUGGUUUCUUGUCCCGAACAACGGUGGAUCGUGGAACAUUGGAGCCCCUGUAAGCUUCUCUAGUCGAAACACCACUUUUUAUUGCUUGAAGACACUCAGUAACAGCUGCUUCAGUAUAUUUUUUACCAAUU